GCCUGAGAUAAGUCACCCCGGAGGAGCUUGAAUGAGAGAAUAGGCUACGUCGACGUUUAGUUCAACGAACCCUCUUCUACAAGGGCGGGAAUUUGUCACCAUGCGGGGGAAUUAAGAAGGAAGUAAGGCAAGAACGAUUGCAACAUUUCCAAGACAUUGCUUCUUUUUUUUCCCUUUUUGUUCCUUUAUCCAAAUUCCAGCCAAAGGAAUUACAUUCUUGGAGAUGUUGGGAAAAGAUUCCUCAGCCUUGGAAGAUAAUUACUCCAAAUAUACAGGGGAGACUUCACACCCAGUGUGGAGACAAACACAGAGCCUGAACUCACGACCCUGAGAUCAAUGCCUGAACUAAGACGAGUCAAAUACUUGACCCACUGAGCCAUCCAGGCAGAUUUUAUUUAUGUAUUCAUGAGAGAGACCAGAGAGGCGGAGAGACAUAGGCAGAGGGAGAAGCAGGCUCCUCGCAGGUAGCCUGAUGCAGGACUUGAUCCUGUAUCCCAGGAUCAUGCCCUGAGCCGAAGGCACUCAACCACUGAGCCAUCCAGGCGUCCCUCCAUGUCAAACUUAACGUUGAGAAGACAUUUCUAAAUUAGUUUAAGAAAUGAAAUUGAAGGGUGGUUUUCUUAACAUCACGUGUCAGAUCUGAUAAACAGUGACCCUUUUUAUAGAAAGGUAAGAGGUUAAUUUGAUGAACAGAAAAUCAGAUCUUAGCAAACAGUUGAUAUUUGAGCAUAAUGUGAAUAUCGUACUCAAUUUUUUUUUCCUUAUGCUUUCAGCUUUCAAAGAUGAUAUAAUUUUCUAAAUCAAUAGAUUUGAUUCAGGGUAGGCAAUUGGUAGCUGGGGUCAGGACUUGUAACCUUGAUGGUCAUCUUUUCUCAAAAAUAAUGAUGUAAUUCAGCCCCUGAAAUAGAUAGGGGCUAUUAGAAUAUAUGAAACUAGAUAUCAUAUAUUCCAGGGUUUAAGUUUGCUUAACUUUUGGAUGUUCUAUAAAUGACUCUUUAAUAUGUCAGUGAACGUCCAUCCUAUAACUUAAGCUUUAUUCAAGAAUAGUAGAUACGUACGUAGGUAGUCAAAAGCUGGGAAUCUCAAAUCUAAUACCACAUUAAUCUGUCACUAAUUAGGCCUGUUGUCUUGGGGUGUUACAAAUUUGAGGAAUAUUAAAUAGAAAAAUUUUUACGACUACUCAAUGUUGAUUUAAAUUCAUUAUUUCAUAAAUUUCUACCAACAUAAAAGUGAUAAAAACUUCGUUUAUAGGCCUUAAUGAAAAGAUUUACAAAUAAGUGCAUUCAAAAACAAAACUAAAAAAUUAAUAGGAUGGAUGCUACUGUUACACAGAAGUAAACAUAGUACUGGCUCGUAUGGAAUAAGUUAUAUACACAUACAGCCUUGUGCCUUGUGAGAAUUGUAAAGUUUUAUAAUCUGGACAACAGUAGAUUUGUCCAGGACUUUACUCUUUUGCAGAACUCAAGAUUAUUGAAAUGAGGAAAGGGGGCCUAAACUCUGAAAAGGAUAUCUUUGGACUGUCUGCAAAUCCUAAUAUGAAGAAUUUUGUAUUACAUUGUCUUCAAACAUUUUUCCAGCUCCAAUGAGUAAUUCAGUUUUUGUUUUUUAUCUAUGGCUAGCUUUGGUUAGUAGUUAGAUUGGAUUAAAAGUUGGCUGUUCUGUGAACUAAUACAAGUUUUUCUUUUUAAAUACAGGUAGUCCUUACUUUGCACUGUUUCCAGUUACUUGAAGAUCAGUUUUCACAGUUGAGUUAAAUAACACCAAUCCCUCUACAACAUGAUUGAAAUUUCAGUUACCGCGAUAGUAACCAGAUUGUUGCAUAAGUUUUGCAGAUAACUCUUUAUUCCACAAAAAAUUAUGCAUAUAAAAGAUGGUCAGUAAACACUUAUAUCGCUUCUUUCAAAGUCUCUUGGUGAUUGAUCACUGAACAUCUAAUAGUUCACACACAGAGUAAAGCAUGUAGUUAUGUUGCCUACUUGUUUCCCAGUGAUAAACCCAUGUGACAGAAUUGGUCAACAAAGAUGACUGGGCAGCAAAGAAAAAGUUUUAACACCAGAAAUGAAAUUGGAUGUCAUUAGAAGAUUUAAAAAUGGUGACAGCAUAGUGAAGACAAGAUAAGACCUGGGCUUACAUGAAGCUAUAAAAUGAACCAUCUUUUUAAAGUUCGAUGAAGCAAGAACUUUUAGGUAAAAUGCUUUAACAUUUUUUAGUUUAAAUUACACUAGGAACAGAAAUGCAUGUAUGGUUGAAAUGGAAUGUUUACUUCUCCUUUGGAUUGAGGACUGUAAAAAUAAAUCCCAGUCAGUUUGGCUAGUAUUCAGGCCAAAGUGUUGAGGUUAGUUGCUGCACUGAAGGAAAAUGGUAAUUACAAGGAGACUGAAAAAGAACAUCUUAUUGCCUUAUAAUAAAGGCUGGUUUCAUUGUUUACAAAGUCAGCAUGAAUUAAUGUUCUGCUAUCUGGUGAAGCUGCAAGCUCAGAGAAGCAUCUGUGAAAUUUGCACCCAUAUUCCAAGAAUCACAAGUAGUCUUUGCUUUGCACAGUAGUGCAAGACUACUAUGUAAAAACUUCACAAGGUUUGGCUGGAAUGCAAUUGGAGUUCUAGAAGAUACAGAUGACCAUGGGAAUGUUGACACUGCUGCCAAUCAAGAAGUAGUUCUACAUAUACAGCCAGAAGAAUUUAGUGAAGGCGAACAUUGUUAUAAAUGACGAAAGCAGUUGUGUGUUGUAAAGGAUCAUUAUGUUUCAGAGGAAGUGAUGGCAGGUGAAAACCACAUUAGAGGAACACUCCUAUUUGAUGACAUUGAAUGCAUAAAUUUUAGAGGCAAAUCCAAACUCAUUUGAAAGGAGUAUGACAGUUUGCCAAGGUGUAGAAAAGAUGCUUGCUCCAUAUUGUAAGUUAUAUGAGAAGGCAAGCAAUAUUAAAACUACUCUUGAGACUUUGAUAAAUAAAAUGCUAGAAUUUUCAA